UACGAAGGGGGGCUAGCGUUGCUCGGAUUGACUGGGCGUAAAGGGCGCGUAGGCGGUUUGCAUAGUCAGACGUGAAAUUCCUGGGCUUAACCUGGGGGGCUGCGUUUUGAUACAUGCAGGCUUGAGUUCGGAAGAGGGUCGUGGAAUUCCCAGUGUAGAGGUGAAAUUCGUAGAUAUUGGGAAGAACACCAGUGGCGAAGGCGGCUCACUGGCUCGUAUCUGACGCUCAGGCGCGACAGCGUGGGGGAUCAAACAGG
rnacentral:rRNA from 1 species